rnacentral:rRNA from 1 species
UUGAACGCUGGCGGCAUGCUUUACACAUGCAAGUCGAACGGUAACAGGCCGCAAGGUGCUGACGAGUGGCGAACGGGUGAGUAAUGCAUCGGAACGCGCCCAGUCGUGGGGGAUAACUACUCGAAAGAGUAGCUAAUACCGCAUACGAUCUAUGGAUGAAAGCGUGUGACCGUAAGGCCUCGCGCGAUUGGAGCGGCCGAUGUCAGAUUAGGUAGUUGGUGGGGUAAAGGCUCACCAAGCCAACGAUCUGUAGCUGGUCUGAGAGGACGACCAGCCACACUGGGACUGAGACACGGCCCAGACUCCUACGGGAGGCAGCAGUGGGGAAUUUUGGACAAUGGGCGCAAGCCUGAUCCAGCAAUGCCGCGUGCAGGAAGAAGGCCUUCGGGUUGUAAACUGCUUUUGUACGGAACGAAACGGCUCUGGUUAAUACCCGGGGCUAAUGACGGUACCGUAAGAAUAAGCACCGGCUAACUACGUG